GGACAGAUGGGUGGCUGAGGAAGUGCAUCACUCAUGACAUGACUCACACCACUGAUGACACCAAUAAAGGGCUGGCCCACCUGUGAAAAUAGGCAGUCCAACUCAAGGGGCCCAUCUGGCUAGUCGCCCUCCACCUACAGAACCUUGCAGAGAGCGCUCCUGAAGCACACUCUGCAGGGUCCUAGUGUCCAUGCAUAGCACUCACAAUGUGCUGCCCUAAAACAAUUUCUUGAUUUUCCUGGAUACAGG